rnacentral:lncRNA from 1 species
GUUUUGGUUUCAUAUCAUAUCCAAGAAACUACUGCCAAAUACAAGAUCAUGAAGAUUCUCCUGUUUUCUUCUAAGAGGUUUAAAAUCUUAGCUCUUAUACUUACAUCUUUGAUCCAUUUUAGUUAAUUUUUGUAUAUGAGAUGAGGUAGAAGUCCAGCCUCUUUUUAUGCAUUAACCAAGUUGUAAAAGCAUCAGUUACUGAAAAGACUCUUCCUUCCUCAUUGAAUAGUCUUGGAAAUCUUGCUGAAAAGUCAUUGACAACAGACAUAUGCUUUUUAUUUCUGUACUUUUAAUUCUGUUGCAUUGAUUUCCAUUUCCAUUGAUCUGUACAUCAGUACCACAUUGUUUCAAUUGCCAUAACUUUUGAAAUCAGGACUUAUUGCCAUAAGUUUUGAAAUCAGGAAAUUGUAGCUCUCCAAUUUUGUUCUUAUUCAUGAUUGUUUUGGCUAUAUGUGAUUCCUUGCAAUUCCAUAUGAAUUUCUGAAUUACCAUUUCCAUUUCUACAAAAAAAAAAAAAAAAAGACCACUGGGAUUUUGAUAGGGAUUAACGCACUAAAUCUGCAGAUCACUUUGGGUAGUGCUACCAUCCUAAUAAUAUUCUCUUCCAAUCCACAAAUGUUCAUGUCUUCUUAUUAUGUCUUUAUUCAUUUCUUUCAAUAGUAUUUUGUAGCUUUCAAUGUAAACACCUUGCACCUCCCUGGUGAAAUUUACUUCUCGAUAUUUUAUUUUUGGUACCCUUGUGAAUAGAAUUGUUUUCUUCAUUUCCUUUUUGGAUUGCUCAUUGCUAGUGCACAGAAACAAACCUGAUUUUUGUGUGUGUCUGUAUGAGUUGUUAUGAUUUUUUAUCUAUAAAAUGUCAUCUGGUAAAAGAGAUUUUACUUCUUUCUAGUUUGGGUGCCUUUCAUUUCUUUUUCUUAUCUAAUUACUCUGGCUUGAGCCUUCAGUGCAAUAUUGAAUAGAAAUGGGUAGAGAGGACUGCUUGUCUUGUUAUUAUUGAUCUAAGCAGGUGGGAGGAAGCUUUUGGACUUUCACAAUGUUAGCUGUGGGUUUUUCCUAAACAAACACACUUUAUCAAGUUGAGUAAGUAGCCCCUCGCACCCGUCACAGUGAUUUUCUUUUCUUCCUGAAAUGCAAAGAUCAUCAAGCAUUUCUUUGUUAAAAAUCCUGCAGUGAGUCCCCAUUUUUCUCAGUAUAAAAUCAAGACCCUUAGUUCAGCACAAAGACUCUCAAGAUCUGAUACCCAUUGGAGUUCCCUGGUGGCCUAGCUGUUAAGGAUCUAGCAUUGUUGCUGAUGUGGUUUGGGUCACUGCUGUGGCAUGGGUUUGAUCCCUAGCCUGGGAACUUCUACAUGAUGCACAGCCAGGGGAAAAAAAAAAAAAAAGAUCCGACACCUGUUGACUUCUCCAGUUUCAUGUCCCCACACUCAUUCUUCAGUACAGAUUCAUAGACAUAUCACCUCUUCACACCUGCUGUUCCCUCUGCUUGGAACACCACCUCCCUUUCUCAAAAGGCUUCUUUAAGUUAUCACACACCUGUCUUCCUGCCCUCCCCACUUCAGGCAGUGAUUGUGUUACUCCUGAGUUAACUCUGUUAAAGCAGCUGGUACAUACACUAUAUGACAAUAAUCUGCUUACCCCCUGCCUUCCUAAAGGGCAAAGACCAAGUCUCUCAUUUCUGUAUCCUUAGUGAAUACAGGACUCCAUGUAUGUCUUUGGAAUAAACAAAGGCUACAUUUCUGUUUCAUUUAUACUUACAAACAUGUCCUCUAAGUCCUAAGAAAGGCAGAUCUGGAUAAGGAUGAGGAAACAAAUUCAGUUAAAGAAUCAGGAAGUUACAUGCUCAGACUUUACCUGUUCAGCUCCCCCAAACCCUAAUUUGAGAGUCAUAGGUAGAUUAUUUUUUUUUCACAGUUACCUGAACAAUGCAUAUUACCUCUAUCCAUCAAAGGAUAAAAUUCUAUAAAUUUUGUUGUUCUUUCUUUUUAGGUUGCUAGGAAGUUCAAAGCAUUUAAUGCUUCAUUGUCCUGUAAUCAUAUUAGUCCUGGAGUUUAGUAUAUUUGUUUCUUCCUGUUUAUGUCUUUGCUUUUCUAUUUUAACAAUCUUAUUGUACAUAAGCCUUUCUGGAAAAAAAGUGGAGCAUAAAUAUGUAUGUAUAUACACAUAUUUUGUGUAUAUACUAAAAACACGCUGUAUGUCUUUUUUGUUAGUAGAGAAGCUAACACAGAUCGUUAAGUUGACAAUGUAGAAAAGCAGAGUUAGAGCCACUGAGAAAACCUGUCUGUAGUUACCUUAGCCAGACAAGCCAUUGUUAGGUUGGUGUCUCUUAAAUGAAAAUCAGAAAGCAGGUAGAUUUCCUUCAUCAGAGAGUGUGAAAAAAAUUUGUUGGCACAGCAAAAUAUUUUCAGACCCUCAAACUCUUUCCCACAUGGCUCCUAUCGCUACAAAGAUUUUGCAUCUGGCAGCACUGAGAAGAAAAGGUGAACAUUUCCAACAUUCAGUGACUUAAGAGAAUCAGAGCCUGGAUGAACUUGACCAUGUGGAGCAAGCCCCUAUCUUUAAAUGGCACAGCCCAGACUGAGUGGAGGUCUCCACAAUUCCUUUUCUCCUCCCCUAGUCACCAGAUCUGUAGGUUUUCCACUGGAAUCUCCCCCUUCCCUCUUCCAAGUCUCCCACAGGCUCUUGACAACUCUGGGUUUAGGUUGAAAUGCCCAUGUCCUCUCCAGGGUCACCUCUCAUUGCCCAUCCACGUGUUCUUGGCUCUGGACUUUAUCUGAAGACUGUGGUUUCCUCAUGCCACUGUAUGAUGGCCCAUGCUGCUCCUCUGGGUAGUCGUCUUUCUUCCCUCCUUCACUCUCGUCUCCUGGCUCGUUUCUGCUCAUCCUUCUAGACUCAGCUCAGACAGUGUCUCCUAAUAGCUCAGUGCUUUCCUGUGUGCUCCCAGCACACCCUCCCUGCUGUCCGUCUCCUUCAUUAGGCUGUGAGUCACUUCAGAUCAGGGAGGGAAUAUCUACCACUGAGUCCCCAGAAAAUAAAUCCUACUGACCAGAGGAGGUCUCAGGAAACGUUUGUUGAGUGGACAUGCAUAGGCUUAGCAUACUGCUGCAGACGCGUUUAGGAAACACAUCUGAAAUGGGCCUCACUCAUCACACUUCGCACAAAAUGUGAGAGGUGGAUCUCAUAACUCCCACUAGUCUAUCAUUUUUUUUCCUCACCUGAUUCUUCUAAAUUUAUUAAGAUCUCCCCACUCCUUCCCUUGACUUUUCCCUUGUCUAACUUAAAAAAAAAAAAAAAAAAUCAAGAGUUCCCGUUGUGGCUCAGUGGUUAACGAAUCCGACUAGGAACCUUGCUCAGUGGAUUAAGGAUCUAGUGUUGCUGUGAGCUGUGGUGUAGGUUGUAGACGCAGCUCGGAUCCUGUGUUGCUGUGGCUCCAGCAUAGGCCGGUGGCUACAACUCCCACUCGAUCGCUAGCCUGAGAACCUCCAUGUGCUGCGGGGGCGGCCCUAGAAAAGGCAAAAAGACAAAAAAAAAGAAAAAAAAAGAAAAAAAAAGUCCUUAUUCCAUUUGGAUUUGACUUAGAUUUGUUUUCACACUGAAGGUCAAUUGUCCUAGACACCACUUAUUAAUCAUUUGAGGUACAGCCUUAGUUUUUAUUACAUUCUUAUAAAUAAUAGAUUUUGUUUUCUCUUCUGUCUAUUGGCCUAUUAUCACACAGCUUUAGUUACAGUCAUUUUAUUACACAUACCUGGAUAUUUGCGUGUUUUUUUUCCUUUUUUUUUCUUGUCAUGACUGUUGCUUGCCGAAGUUUUCCUGGGCCAGGCAUCCAACCAGAGCAGCAGCCCAAGCUGCUGCAAUGACAAGGCCAGAUCCUUAACCCGCUAGGAAACUCCUGGAUAUUUGCGUUUUAACUCAGCCGUAUUUUUUUUCAUGUUAAAAACUACAGACAUUCUCCUGUGGUGCAGUGGGUUAAGGAUCCAGAUGUUGUCACUGCAGCAGCUCUGGUCACUGCUGUCGCACAGGUUUGAUCCCUGACCUGAGAACUUCCACAUCAUGGGCUUGGCCAAAAAAAAAAAAGAAAAGAAAAGAAAAAAGAAACUAUAGCAGUUACUUCAAUUAAAAAAAUAACUCUAGAGGGAGAUUUUAAACAUACAGAGAAGCAAAGAAAAAAUUAUAUUACCCUGAUGCCAUAUCUUGCAGAUAACAUCAUUAUCAUUUUGAUGUAAAAAUGGUGGCUUUCUUAGCUGACUUCAACUUGACCACCUUGACAGAUUAACUGACAUGUUCCAGUCCUCUGUAGAACGAGCUGGCUGAUGUCCACAGAAGGCUGAAUGGUCUGGGAGAGGGGCUUACCCACUCUCAGCAUCAGUGGAAUGUGCUUUUUGCCAGAGUCACACAUAUUUAUUCCAACAGGUUAUGCCAAGUGCAGUGGUUAUUCAAAUGGUCUGAUGAAAUAUUAUGUAUAUUUAUAAAAACAAUGAGUAUGAAGAGAAUAAUUUCUAUGAAAACUAAAUUGUAUUCUUUGGAGAGACUCUAUAAAGAUAAGAAACUCAAACUAUUACUCUUGAAUUACUUGUGCAUGAGACUUAUAAUCAUUGGAAAGAAAUUACAAAAAUCUAGGAGUCCCUACUCAGUUUACUUCAUUAUUGAGCAUCUCUAAAUCCCUUUUUUUUUUGUUUUUUUCUUUUUGGGCCACAUCCAUGGAGACUCUCAGGCUAGGGGUCAAAUCAGAGCUGUAGCUGCUGGCCUACGCCACAGCCACAGCAAUGUGGGAUCCGAGCUGUGACCUACACCACUGCUCUCGGCAACACCAGAUCCCAGACCCAGUGAGUGAGGCCAGGGAUUGAAUCGGCAUCCUCAUGGAUACUAGUUGGAUUUGUCUGCUGCACCACAGUGGGAACUCCCAGAGCAUGUCUAAAUUCUUGAUCCAUUUUAAAGAAGACAACAUUUCACAUUAUUUCUUUUUUUUUUUUUUUUCUUUUUGGGCCACAUCCAUGGAGACUCUCAGGCUAGGGGUCAAAUCAGAGCUGUAGCUGCUGGCCUACGCCACAGCCACAGCAACGCGGGAUCCGAGCCGCGUCUGCAACCUACACCACAGCUCACGGCAACGCCGGAUCGUUAACCCACUGAGCAAGGGCAGGGAUCGAACCCGCAACCCCAUGGUUCCUAGUCGGAUUCGUUAGCCACUGCGCCACGACGGGAACUCCUAUUUCAUUUUUUGGUGGUGACAUUAUUGGCAUGUUUAAUGUCAAAAAAAAAAAAAAGAAAAUAGACAACUUCAGAUGACUCAGAGUCAUAAAUAGAACCAAUGCAUAUGUCAAAGAUUGGGCAAUGAUUAUUUACUUGUAGUUUUAAAAAACAUUUCAUUUAUAAUGAUUCUCCUCUUUAAC